AGUGGAUUAAAGUUAAACGAGUUCCCAAACGGAUCGUCACUUUCCCAGUGUUUAAAAGACUUCUUCUUCUUUGAUCGUCAACCGACUCUGAUGCAAACCGUUGAACCUUCCGGAACAAUUCCGGACACCUUGGAUACCAAUGAUGUCUCUGAAUCUGGGUCUGCAGCACACUUUAGUGCUCCUAAACUGAAAAACGUAGCAGCAGGUGAUACUAGUGCUUCUUCUGGCUCUGCAGAAUCCGCAGUUACCUCCUGAUUGACUUUAUCAAAGCAAUCUAAUGGUAUUCCUUUUCCUUUUUUUUUCUGUGUGUUCGUAUUUGCGUUCGUGUUUGCGAAUUAGAAGUAUACACAAGUAGGGAUCUUUGGUGAAGGCUGGGAAACAUUGUAGUGGUCCAUAUAACAUUUGAAGGUUGCGUAUAUGAAUGCUGCUGCAUGCCCCUGAUUCCCCAUACCCUGCUUUUGGGGGCUUAUGUGUUUGAUGAAGAAAGCUCAAUACACUUUACAUGCAAAAUCAUAUAUAGUUUUACAUCAGAAAUGUAAAUGAUUUUCGUUUCUU